UGAGGAUUAGUUUAACAAAAACAUUUGACUUCGACUCAAAAAACUUCAGUUACACCCUGAAAUCCUUUU
rnacentral:tRNA from 1 species